CUUAACAGUUAGCUGCGCGAGUGCUAAAUGUUGCUUUUAAUUAAACAAUAAAGAAUGCAACACCCUUUCUGGUAUCCUUAUAAAUUUUGAUGUGAUACAACAACUUGAUUCUUUAAAAAUUAAUUGCCUAGGAGUAUGUUUAAGUAGUAUUGAUUAUGUUAGUACCUCGUGUUGCUCUGUGAUACUUAACCCAACAUUUAAAAUAUCUUUUUUCCAUUAUAUGUUGUGAUGCAAGAAUAAAAGCAAAGUACAAAACAAAUAGGCACUUGAAUUCUAAUAGCAAUAAGCAAUAAAUGUCAGGCAUCUGGAAAUUAUGGUUGCAAUUUCAUCAGAGUACACUUUGUUCUUCUAUUAUGCCUGCAUGAAUUUUGCUACAGGCAAAAUCUAUUACAGAUAACAGUUAAGAACCUUUCUAAUCUACACAGAUAGUCAUGGCAAAAUGUUGGAAAACUAAAUGUUGGAAAAUGUAAUAUUGCAGGGGAAAAUUGACACUUGUAGAAAAUAAUGUGGGCCCAUUUAGAACCACAAAUGGUAAUCAUUUCUUUAAGAUCAUAGUGUGGUAGAGGUUUCUGAGCUGGGUGACCCAGUUGAAGGACACAGCCCUGGGAAUGAAUCCUGUGCUGCUGCCUGGGGUGUGCAUGUGCAGAAAACGUGUACCAACCUCCAUCAACGGUAGACUGCAGAGUUCAGCGCAUGCUUCCCAGAGAGUUCCUCCUUCCCUACUGGGCUUUAAGGUUUUAAUUUUCCCAUGGACUCAACCACAAAUAAG
rnacentral:lncRNA from 1 species